UACAGAGGGUGCUAGCGUUGUUCGGAAUCAUUGGGCGUAAAGGGCGUGUAGGCGGUUUGUUAAGUCAUGUGUGAAAUCCCUCGGCUCAACCGGGGAACGACGCAUGAAACUGGCAAGCUAGAGUACCAAAGAGGGGGGUGGAAUUUACGGUGUAGCGGUGAAAUGCGUAGAUAUCGUAAGGAAGACCAGUGGCGAAGGCGGGUCUCUGGACAGUUCCUGACGCUGAGGCACGAAGGUCAGGGGAGCAAACGGG
rnacentral:rRNA from 1 species